rnacentral:sRNA from 1 species
CAGAAACAAACAAAAAAAGACAGUGAAAAGAAAACAAAAGAGGCGCAUCUCUGUCUUAGGCUCUACACAGGUCUCUGUAUGCAACACAGACCAACCAAACCAACAAUGGCUACAAAAAAAGACAGUGAAAAUAAAACAAAAUUGGCUCUGUAUGCAACACAGACCAACCAAACCAACAAUGGCUCCUGUAUAUUUACAAUUUCCCGAGAAACAAUAAAAUAACAACUAAAAGGCUCUUUCGAUCAACUGUGGGGCCCUUCUAAUGUCUCCGUCGUUGUCAACGUCAUCGACUGCAGACUCGCUUGGUUUUUUUAUGAACCCAUUGAAGCAUACAUAUAUUUUGAUAAUUACACAUAUUCUAUUUUGAUACUAACAAUUAUAUAUUUUUAUACCAAAAACAAA